GCCAAUCACAGUUGGCCAGCCAGCUCUCCCUUGCAUGGAGAUGACUGCUCAGGGGAAGAUGAGUGACAGUCAGACCCUAGGGCCGGUGACCCUGGUUCAUGUGCCACACACUGCAGAGGCAUCUUGCUUCAAAGCGACACUGUUACUGGUGGGAAGCCUAUGGGGACCCUCUGGUACUGCCAAUUUUCAGCCAGAGGAGGCUUUGUGCCAGGCAUCUCUAAAGUGGAAACUGAGUAUAUCAGACAACGAAUACAUGGCUGGUAAGGGUUGAAGCCGGAUUGGUCUUGAACCCCGUGACACUGCCUGGUCCCAUCUAAGGGAGGAAGUCCAGCCCAGGAGAAGGUUGAAGCUGAGUGGAUGGGUAGACAGAUGGAUGGCCAAGUGAGCUGGUGGGUAAGGUUGUGUGUGGGGAGAUGGAUGGAUGGGUGGGUGGGUAAGUGGGUGGACACCCACUCUGAGCCGCGCAUCGUAUGUUAGCAGAAUUAGACCUUACAGGAAAACUCACACUCCACCUGGACAUACUCAGCCAAGAGCAAACGCUCUAGACCUGUGUAGUGCUCAUGACAAAGCAGGACAAGAGCUGGGCUUCCCCGGUGGUGACAGUCCACCGUGCAGACCCUUUCCUAACCUCACUGUUCUAGAAAAUGGAGUUCAAAAGCUUAGAUCGGGGCCAGCAAGACGGCUUAACAGGUAGACCCCUGCCACUAAGCCUGGGGACGUGAGUGGGAUCUCCAGGACCCAUAUGGUGAAGGAGAGAAGGGACACUCACAAGUUGACCUCUGAUACACGCAUGCAGACACACACACACACACACACACACACACACACACACACACACACACAAAUGUAAUUUUUAAAAACCCUGCUUAGUAGGAUUGUUUUAAAAAGCUACACUAAAGUAUGGCAUGGUGGUUCACACCUGUAACCCUACUCAAGAAACUGAUGCAGCAGGAUUACUAUGAGUUUGAAGCCAGCCUGGGCUAUCCAGUGAAUUUGCGGCCAGCCUAGGCUACUGUCUCAGUUAGGGUUUCUAUUGCUGUGAAGAGACACCAUGACCAUGGCAACUCUUAUAAAGGA